rnacentral:rRNA from 1 species
UACGUAGGUGGCGAGCGUUGUCCGGAUUUACUGGGCGUAAAGAGCGCGCAGGCGGUCGUUCAAGUCGCGUGUGAAAGCCCCCGGCUCAACUGGGGAGGGUCACGCGAUACUGAUCGACUCGAAGGCAGGAGAGGGAAGUGGAAUUCCCGGUGUAGUGGUGAAAUGCGUAGAUGUCGGGAGGAACACCAGUGGCGAAGGCGACUUCCUGGCCUGUUCUUGACGCUGAGGCGCGAAAGCUAGGGGAGCAAACGGG